CCCUUAGAUGUUCUGGGCCGCACGCGCGCUACACUGAUGCAUUCAACAAGCCUAGCCUUGACCGAGAGGUCCGGGUAAUCUUUGAAACUGCAUCGUGAUGGGGCUAGAUUAUUGCAAUUAUUAAUCUUCAACGAGGAAUGCCUAGUAAGCGUGAUUCAUCAAAUCGCGUUGAUUACGUCCCUGCCCUUUGUACACACCGCCCGUCGCUCCUACCGAUUGAAUGUGUUGGUGAGGAUCUCGGAUUGGCAGCAGUUGGUGGUUCGCCACCGGCUAUUGCUGAGAAGUCCUCCAAACCGCCCCAUUUAGAGGAAGGAGAAGUCGUAACA
rnacentral:rRNA from 1 species